CCUACGGGAGGCUGCAGUGGGGAAUAUUGCACAAUGGGGGAAACCCUGAUGCAGCGACGCCGCGUGAGUGAAGAAGUAUUUCGGUAUGUAAAGCUCUAUCAGCAGGGAAGAAAAUGACGGUACCUGAUUAAGAAGCCCCGGCUAACUACGUGCCAGCAGCCGCGGUAAUACGUAGGGGGCAAGCGUUAUCCGGAUUUACUGGGUGUAAGGGGAGCGUAGACGGCAGCACAAGUCUGGAGUGAAAUGCCGGGGCUUAACCCCGGAACUGCUUUGGAAACUGUGCAGCUAGAGUGCAGGAGAGGUAAGUGGAAUUCCUAGUGUAGCGGUGAAAUGCGUAGAUAUUAGGAGGAACACCAGUGGCGAAGGCGGCUUACUGGACUGUAACUGACGUUGAGGCUCGAAAGCGUGGGGAGCAAACAGGAUUAGAUACCCGAGUAGUC
rnacentral:rRNA from 1 species